UCGAGUUAGGGUCUCCCAUAGGCCCGACCUCUAACCCUUUGUCUACCUAACCUCACGUUGCUUCGGCGGACCCCGCCCCUUGGAGAACAAGGGGCGACCGCCGGUGGCCAAACUCUAAAACUCUUGUUGAACCGUGGCGUCUGAGUGGGAAAGAAUCAAUAACCAA
rnacentral:misc_RNA from 1 species